rnacentral:rRNA from 1 species
UACGUAGGGGGCAAGCGUUGUCCGGAUUUAUUGGGCGUAAAGAGCGUGUAGGCGGCCAGGUAGGUCAGCUGUGAAAACUCGAGGCUCAACCUCGAGACGCCGGUUGAAACCAUCUGGCUAGAGUCCGGAAGAGGAGAGUGGAAUUCCUGGUGUAGCGGUGAAAUGCGCAGAUAUCAGGAGGAACACCGAUGGCGAAGGCAGGUCUCUGGGCCACUACUGACGCUGAGAAGCGAAAGCAUGGGGAGCGAACAGG